ensembl:lncRNA
AAAUGCCCCCCGCCUUUGUUCGGAUAUCUUUUUAAAUAUUUACAAGUUGUCAUGUCAUCUCUGACUGGAAGAGGAAGAGAGGGGUUUCCAGCCUCGAUCAGAGGAGGUCUCUGGAGCGCAGAAGUGCAGCAUCACUUUGAGACCGCAGGGAAGGACCGCCAGCCCAAGGAGCGCCCCUCUCCUGUGGGUGCCGGAGGGUCCAGGGGCGACCCAUAUCGGAAUAUGUGCCAGAGAGCAGACGAUGUCCCGUCUUACAAGUCCCUCCCUGGAUCUGUAGGAGACCGCAUCCGGACAACCAUGUCCUUUAGGACUAUAUGUAGAGGAGGCUCCAUGUCGGCGAAUCCCGGCUUUGGGAGGUCCGAUCGGAAAGUUGCUCGUUGCGAGAAGUGCUCAGCGACCCUUGUUGCUCUGAAGAAACAAGCCCUUAGCCUGGCUGUUCACCAUCACUUCUCCUGCAAGGACUUGAGUGACCUGUCGGCAUUUCUUCAUGAAAACCUCCGGGUCCAUAGUCGGUCCACCACGGACUUCAGAGAAAGAGACCAGGGGGAGUGUGGAGCCUGCGGUACAAACCUGUACCAGCUCAAGCAAGAGGCCAUCCAUGUGGCUCUGAGCCGGGGUCAGGCAUUAGCC